GCUUUAUCCGCAGGUUAAACAACGGCUAACAAUGCUAACCAAGCAGUGAAUGCUGCCCUUUAUCAGCCAGACAAGAUGCUACAGGUAGAUUACAUAAAGCAAUCCAGCCAAUACCAGACUGGUAUUUGAAGCAAGUGGAAUUCCCAGUUCAUUGGUUGACCUUACGGGUCUGAGGGCUACAGGGGGUCAGUGCCGAGCGACGGGGGUCCUGCCGAGAGGGGUGGAGGCCUCUUCAUGGACCCAGCAUGCAGUUCCAUUCCCAGCACCACCUUCAGGCCUGUGGCCACUCCACAGGGGAGCAAAUUUGACUCCCGGCCCUCAUCUACUGGCCCAUGAAACAGAUGUGAUCAAGAACUUGCGAAUGCCUUGGUGGAAGAUUGAGGGAACGUCUCACAGCAAGAACUUACACAUCUGGUGCGGUCCAUGAGGAUGAGAUGUACUGUAGGACUUAAAGCAGCUGGAGGACACCAGAUACUGACUGUUACUUUUAAUAUUGACCCCCCCCUUGUUCAGGGACUCAUUCCAUUUCUGUU
ensembl:lncRNA